rnacentral:Y_RNA from 1 species
GGCUGGUCUGAAGGUAGUGAGUUAUCUCGAUUGUUCACAGUCAGUUACAAAUUGAACUCUUUGUUCUGCUCUUUUCUACCUUCUCACUACUGCACUUGACUAGUCUAAA